UACGUAGGGUGCAAGCGUUGUCCGGAAUUAUUGGGCGUAAAGAGCUCGUAGGCGGUUUGUUGCGUCGGCUGUGAAAUCCCGAGGCUCAACCUCGGGUCUGCAGUCGAUACGAGCAAACUAGAGGGUUGCAGAGGAGACUGGAAUUCCCGGUGUAGCGGUGAAAUGUGUAGAGAUCGGGAGGAACACCGGUGGCGAAGGCGGGUCUCUGGGCAACUCCUGACGCUGAGGCGCGAAAGCGUGGGGAGCAAACGGG
rnacentral:rRNA from 1 species